UUUCUUAUUCCCCCCCCCCCCCCCCAUUGAAAAAGAAAGAGAGAUAGAGGGCGCAAAGAAAUCAAAAGCGAGGACCUAGCGAGUUUUUUUAGCUCCUUGUCAUUUCUUUGAACUCUUCUCCACUCUUAAACCCACUCUCAUUUUCACCGACUCCCUAAUUCUCUCUCUGUUUUUUGUUAUUUUGUCUUUCAGAAGUGAAAAUUAGGGUUCCGAGCUAUCAAGAUUCUUGCGAUUCACUCUUUGAUCGGUUUUACUGCACUGCCAAAAAAGUUGGGCGUGCAGUGUAGGUUACGAGGCGUCCUUUUCAAGUUUUUCUUGUGAUUUCUAUUCGAUCAUGUCUGGGGAUUCUGUGGCGAACCUUUCCAAUGGAAAUGCCAAUACACAGCAGCCUGAUCCGCGGAAGACUUACCAAGUGGUUGUGGCUGCGACUAAGGACAUGGGUAUUGGGAAAGAUGGGAAGCUACCAUGGAAAUUGCCUUCGGAUCUUAAGUUUUUUAAGGAUUUGACCUUGACAACGAUGGAUUCUGGUAAGAAGAACGCGGUUAUCAUGGGAAGGAAGACGUGGGAAAGUAUUCCACUCGAGCAUAGGCCUCUUCCUGGUCGGCUUAAUGUUGUUUUGACACGUUCUGGGAGUUUUGAUAUUGCUACUGCCGAGAAUGUUGUGAUUUGUGGAAGCAUGGGUUCUGCAUUGGAGUUGUUGGCUGCGUCCCCUUAUUGUUUGUCGAUCGAGAAAGUGUUUGUUAUUGGAGGUGGUCAGAUAUUAAGAGAAUCUUUGAAUGCGCCUGGAUGUGAUGCUAUCCACAUUACAGAGAUUGAGACGGAUUUUGAUUGCGAUACUUUUAUCCCUGCAAUUGAUACCUCUGUAUUUCAGCCCUGGUACUCUUCUUUUCCCAAGGUGGAAAAUGACAUACGACAUUGCUUUACAACUUAUGUUCGAGUGAGAAGUUCUACAAUUGAAUCCCAUAGUCAAAACAAUGGUGAGAACUCUGAUGGUAAUUCAGAAAAUAGUAAAUUUGAGGUAAAGAAGUUCUCAUUCCUUCCCAAGAUGGUAUUUGAGAGACAUGAGGAGUAUUUAUAUCUCAGAAUGGUUCAAGACAUCAUCUCGGAUGGGAAUUUGAAGGAUGACAGGACAGGAACUGGUACUCUAUCAAAAUUUGGUUGCCAGAUGCGAUUCAAUCUGCGCAAAAAUUUUCCACUUCUUACAACAAAGAAAGUAUUUUGGCGAGGCGUUGUUGAAGAACUCCUGUGGUUCAUCAGUGGUUCAACAAGUGCCAAGGUCCUUCAGGAAAAGGGCAUUCACAUAUGGGAUGGCAAUGCAUCCAGAGAGUACCUUGACAGUAUUGGGUUAAAGGACAGAGAGGAAGGUGACUUGGGACCUGUAUAUGGGUUCCAGUGGAGGCAUUUUGGUGCUAGGUAUACUGAUAUGCAUGCUGACUACACUGGCCAGGGAUUUGACCAGUUGUUAGAUGUUAUUGACAAGAUUAAGAAUAAUCCAAAUGAUCGUCGGAUUAUAAUCUCAGCUUGGAAUCCUUCUGAUCUCAAAUUGAUGGCGCUUCCACCUUGCCACAUGUUUGCUCAGUUCUACGUAGCCAAUGGAGAAUUAUCAUGCCAAAUGUACCAGCGUUCUGCUGACAUGGGCCUUGGUGUGCCCUUCAACAUUGCAUCGUAUGCUCUCCUGACAUGCAUCAUUGCUCAUGUCUGUGAUCUCAUUCCAGGCGAUUUUGUUCAUGUGAUUGGUGAUGCUCAUGUUUAUCACACUCAUAUCAGGCCUCUGCAGGAGCAGCUUCGGAAACUUCCAAAGCCUUUUCCAAUUUUGAAGAUCAAUUCUGAGAAGAAAGACAUAGAUACUUUUGUGGCAGCUGAUUUCAAGCUCAUAGGGUAUGAUCCUCACCAGAAAAUUGAAAUGAAAAUGGCGGUAUAGAGCUCCGCUCCAUUAAAGAUUUAGUGUAAUUGGAGACUCUGAUCCCUCCUCGGCAAAACAUGCUCGUAGUUUUGAGGCACAGCUGUUGGAGGCCUAUCAUGAUAUAGAGUGUGAUACGAAGGAUCAAAUAAAAAUUUGGUAGUUUUGGGAUAUACUUCAAGCUUAUGCUGUCGUAGUGAGAAUCCUUUAGUUCCACUCCCAGUCGUGGUUCUAAGGUGAUUUAGGAUACCUGUUUUUCAGUUUUGGUUUCUCUUAAACUAGUGUUCUGUUUUUUACUGAUCCAUCGCCUAAUUUCAACAAUACUCUAUCGUACUUCUUUUGAAGUGGAUUGGAAUUUGGACGGGCUAUUUCCUUUUGCAGUGCUUUUGCCUUUCGUGAA